GCUGCCUCUCCGCCUUUGCACACACAGUCCUUGGCACACUUCUCACACUCCGCAGGGCAGCAGGAGCAGCAGCUCUUCUUGCAGGAGGUGCAUUUGCAUCCCUCGCACUUGCAGGAGUCCGCGCAGGUGCAGGAGCCACCAGAAGGGCAGGGGCAGGUCUCAGGGUCCAUGUCGAGGAGAGCAGCAGCUGGAGGCGGUGAACGGGCUUCUCCAAG
rnacentral:misc_RNA from 1 species